UACGUAGGGGGCAAGCGUUGUCCGGAAUCAUUGGGCGUAAAGAGCGUGUAGGCGGCCCGGUAAGUCCGCUGUGAAAGUCCAGGGCUCAACCCUGGGAUGCCGGUGGAUACUGUCGGGCUCGAGUCCGGAAGAGGCGAGUGGAAUUCCUGGUGUAGCGGUGAAAUGCGCAGAUAUCGGGAAGAACACCCGUGGCUAAGGCGGCUCUCUAGUACGGUACUGACGCUGAGACGCGAAAGCGUGGGGAGCGAACAGG
rnacentral:rRNA from 1 species